rnacentral:rRNA from 1 species
CAGUAGCCGCGGUAAUACGUAGGUCCCGAGCGUUGUCCGGAUUUAUUGGGCGUAAAGGGAGCGCAGGCGGUUUAGUAAGUCUGAAGUUAAAGGCAUUGGCUCAACCAAUGUAUGCUUUGGAAACUGUUUGACUUGAGUGCAGAAGGGGAGAGUGGAAUUCCAUGUGUAGCGGAGAAAUGCGUAGAUAUAUGGAGGAACACCGGUGGCGAAAGCGGCUCUCUGGUCUGUCACUGACGCUGAGGCUCGAAAGCGUGGGUAGCGAACAGGAUUAGAUACCCGAGUAGUCCCUGUCUCUUAUACA